AUUCCUGGCUUUCACCCAGGCGGCCCGGGUUCGAUUCCCGGUGUAAGAA
rnacentral:tRNA from 1 species